GUGCCAGCCGCCGCGGUAAUACGGAGGAUCCAAGCGUUGUCCGGAUUUAUUGGGUUUAAAGGGUGCGUAGGCGGAUGAUUAAGUCAGUGGUGAAAGCCGGCAGCUCAACUGUCGAACUGCCAUUGAAACUGAUCGUCUUGAAUGUAGUAGAGGUAGGCGUAAUGUAUCAUGUAGCGGUGAAAUGCUUAGAUAUGAUACAGAACACCAAUUGCGAAAGCAGCUUACUAUGCUAUUAUUGACGCUGAGGCACGAAAGCGUGGGGAUCAAACAGGAUUAGAAACCCUAGUAGUCC
rnacentral:rRNA from 1 species